rnacentral:rRNA from 1 species
UGGGGAAUAUUGCACAAUGGACGGAAGUCUGAUGCAGCAACGCCGCGUGCGGGAUGACGGCCUUCGGGUUGUAAACCGCUUUUUCUCAUGACGAAGUUUUUUGACGGUAGUGGGGGAAGAAGCACCGGCUAACUACGUGCCAGCAGCCGCGGUGAUACGUAGGGUACGAGCGUUGUCCGGAAUUAUUGGGCGUAAAGAGCUUGUAGGCGGUUUGUCGCGUCGAUAGUGCAAACUCAGUGCUUAACGCUGAGCCUGCUGUUGAUACGGGCAGACUAGAGGAAGGUAGGGGAGAAUGGAAUUCCCGGUGGAGCGGUGGAAUGCGCAGAUAUCGGGAGGAACACCGGUGGCGAAGGCGGUUCUCUGGGCCUUUCCUGACGCUGAGAAGCGAAAGCGUGGGGAGCGAACAGG